GAAUUGCUUUAGUCUUUAGUUCAGCUACUCAAAAUUUAUUUCAAAUUCGAAAAAAAAAAAAUUCUUUCCAAUUUUAUUUAAAAUGUCACUGCUUCUAAGAUUGGUUAUGCUUUUCAGCCAAUGUAAAGGCAUUUGUCAAAGUCUCAAUUUUUUCAUCCAACGCACCAACCAGACAAAGCGCAUGCGCGUGAGCAUCCAUUUUACUGCAAACAGCUGUGCCAUACACAUUUACACUUACUUAAAUGCAAA